AGCUCUGAAUUUCUCAGUAAACAGGAUAAGCUAUCAGCAGAGAGUCUGAAUCAGUCAGUCAUUGGCCGGGUCACUGGUUCAUCGCUCACUCUGCCUUUUGCUGUUUUACAGUUUGGUUCAGACGAUUCACUGUUGUCUCUGGAAUUCCGUUCACCCUCCUUCGGAUAUAUUUCUGACAGCGUGUGAUCGGUGAGAUGGUGUGAUCGGAGACACGGACACAGCUCCGGUCAGGAGAGAGAGACAGAGAGAUCCAGCACAGAUUGCGUGACGUAACGCACCAAAGGUUUAAAAGAAAGACUGCCAUAUACAGCGGCCAUCAUCGUAGCGGCCAUCGUCAGAGUGGACUGAGGCAGAGAGGGUCGACUUUGGCUCAAUCAGGCUUCAGCAAGAGGCGAGGUUUGAACGGGACACGACUGCGCAAGCGCGUGAAAGUUGGCCUCUGAGAUCAGCGGGGGAAUUUAAAAAGCGAGCAGAGGCUGAGGACGAGCUUCACUCCAGGUGAG